rnacentral:tRNA from 1 species
UCCCUGGUGGCUCAGAGGGUAAAGUGUCUGCCUGUAAUGCAGGAGACCUGGGUUUGAUUCCUGGGUUGGGAA